GAUGAACGCUGGCGGCGUGCCUAAUACAUGCAAGUCGAGCGAACGGACGAGAAGCUUGCUUCUCUGAUGUUAGCGGCGGACGGGUGAGUAACACGUGGAUAACCUACCUAUAAGACUGGGAUAACUUCGGGAAACCGGAGCUAAUACCGGAUGAUAUUUUGAACCGCAUGGUUCAAAAGUGAAAGACGGUCUUGCUGUCACUUAUAGAUGGAUCCGCGCUGCAUUAGCUAGUUGGUAAGGUAACGGCUUACCAAGGCAACGAUGCAUAGCCGACCUGAGAGGGUGAUCGGCCACCCUGGAACUGAGACACGGUCCAGACUCCUACGGGAGGCAGCAGUAGGGAAUCUUCCGCAAUGGGCGAAAGCCUGACGGAGCAACGCCGCGUGAGUGAUGAAGGUCUUCGGAUCGUAAAACUCUGUUAUUAGGGAAGAACAUAUGUGUAAGUAACUGUGCACAUCUUGACGGUACCUAAUCAGAAAGCCACGGCGAACUACG
rnacentral:rRNA from 1 species